AGUGCCAGGUUUUAGUCCAUCUCUGUAAAUACAUCUCCCACAGCCUGCUGACACGUUCCAUCCAGCUGCAGGCUGCCAAAAACCAGGCUGCAUUGUAUGUUUUCACUGACUUCUACCAGGAAGAAGUCGUGUGUCUGCCUGCUUCUGCCGAGUGGGAACAGGAAUUAUGAGAUGUCUCUUUGGAUUUAUGCUGCUGCAGCCCUUGCAGGGUUUGCAGCUGGAAAACGCGCUCCCUGUGGCAGAGCUCUGCAGCGACCUUCCACCUGUGAAAUCCACACGGAGAUUUGCUAACUCCAGUGCUUUCUGCUCAGGGCUCAUCAAAGGCCUUUCCCUGCCUGGAUGUUCUUGCUGUAAAGACUCAAGCCUGGAGCAUCCCCAGCCGGGAGGAAUGGAGCACCACGUGGGGCAGAUUCGGUUCUGGUGUUUGUCUCAUGGCAAGGAGGGACCAAAAGCAAGCCUGUGAGUAGCAUCUUGUCAUUCAGCUGUGAGAAAGGUGCUGGGGACCCCGGUGUUCACCCAGGCUCCGCAGUUACUCCUCUGCUGGGUACGUGCUGCUGUGCUUCUGGAUGGCCCACCUGGCAUCCUGAUGGGAUUUCCCUCCCUUCCUUACAGAAACCUCAUCAUCAGCAGGCACUUCUGCUCACAAUCAGAGAAGAAGCUGUGAUCGUUGUUUUGCCUGCCCUGCAACUUUAUCGAUGAACGUGACGCUUCUGGCUGCCGUAAUCUGAUGAGGAGUGCAAGGUACUGGCAUCUAGAAGUCAGUGAUGGGUGCUUUACGGAUGUCUAGGUAUCUAAAAAUAGAGGCAGAAGACAGUGCUGCUCGUAUGUUUUAAGCAGAAGAACAAGCAAUGAAAGCUUUUCCAGAAAUGCUUGAGGGAACAGCAGACUUUCCAUUUAAGGCUGUAUUAUUUCAUUGGGUAAUCUGAUUAAACAUGUAGGUUAUGUGAGGACUUGAUUCAACCCUCCGUAGAAACUGCUGUGUAUAUGUGAAAGUGGCAUCACAAUCACCUGUAUGCGAGGGAGAAUUACGAUAAACGCUUUUCUUGAGACUAUUGCCCUGGAGAAAUUGAUGGCAGAUGCGUUGUGCCACCGUUUGCAUAAAAGGGCUCUUCUCUCCCAGAUGAAUCGCUUUAUGAACUGCUCUGAAUUGUCCUUUUCCAAAAUAAUUGAUUAAAUCUGAGUCAUCGGUA